rnacentral:misc_RNA from 1 species
CACUCGCGUUUUUGUUUUCGAAGAGAGCGGACGUGCACGGACGCGUUUACGCUGGCACAUCGCAUCGCUGGAUUCCGUUCGGUUACGUUCUGGCGUGUUUUUUUCUGUUUGUCGCGUUGUUAUUAACUUUUGUAUUUUACUACCACUACGGAACGUUGUAUAAUUUCUGUUUCUGUUCUCCAGCGUUUACGCGCCGCUUUUUGCCUUUUUGCCACCUGUACAAGUGUGUGCUGAAAAAAGAUACACAGUUUGGGCAAUAGAGCGUUUUCAAUGCCGGCUUUAAAGUGUGUGUUUUGCUGACGUUCCCAACUGUCAUAUCUAAUUCGUGCCAACAGUCCGAGGAAAUAGUAAUAAUAUAAGUGGAAGAGCGAAGCAACAGUGCAAUUGAAUAUACUUACUUACAUAUGUAUGUAUGUAUGUAUAUCGUUAUUAUCAGCGGAUAUCGCUCAUGCGACGUGUGUUACCUUGAAAGAAAAGCGCCAAACUUGUGUCACCUAUUGUGUACCUAUUCCACAUAAUUUCCAUAAUUUCUCCCUGUGUAUGUUUGAGUGCGUAGCCGAAUAUUAAGUGAAGUACAGAAGCAACAACAAGCCACAGCAGCAAGCACAUCAGUUACUAUUAAAUUAUAUUGCAAGUUACAAGCUGGGGGAGAAAAAAGAAAAAAAAAAAACAAAUAAUCAAGCGAAACAAGGCGAAAAAAAUACACAACAAAAUCAAACAAUAACAGUAAGGGCAGCGAAGAGAACAUUUAAGUGAGCAGCGACUGCGCCGUAGACGUCAACUGCGACAGCGGCUGAGGGUGCAGCAGAAUUAACAACAACAUCAGGGAAAAUAGACCCACAAUGUCGAAAAACUGAUGAGCCAACAAGAUGCAAGCGGUCAUGGACACGGCCGCUAUGGCCAUCGCCAUGGGAUCGUCCGGUUCCGGAUCCGUAUCCGGGCUUAGCUCCGGCUCCAGUUCCGGGCCGGGCAGCAGCAGCAGUGGAAGCAGCAGCAGCGGAUACGGAAGCGCCACGACCACGCCCACCAGCGGCGGCCACUUUGACAAUUCGCCCACCUCAAUGCCAAUGGCCACCAUAGCGACAGUGGCUCCGUUCUACAGCGAAGCGCUGACAUCGCUGGACGCCCAGCAGAGGCAGCAACAGCAGCAGCAACAUAAUCCAAGUCACUAUUACCCACAGAACUACGGAUACGGAAAUUCCCUGCCCCUAGAUACCGCCUACAACUACAGUGGAGCUCCGUACAACUCGUACAGCAGUGGAGCAGUGGGACAACAAGUGUCUGGAAACAGUUUCCCCGUAAGUGGAACUCGCUACGAAAAGCUCACUCCCGCUGCGGGGGCCAAGUAUGGAGGAAAUCCAAUUGGCGGAACCGGUACGGGUAUCAAGCCGCAGGCUACGGCCACGCCCUUCUACGCCCAACCGCUUUCCGGAGGUGCAGCAGGCUCCGGCGGUUAUAUUAGCCAGUCGAAUGCCACUUACGAUCCGUACAAGUACAAGAUUCCCUCCGCCCAGGCUGCAACGCAUUCGAUGAUGCCGAGUAAUAUGGCAGGCAGUGCUGUUCCGGGUACAUCAUAUGGCCUACCCCUAAAUCCUGGAGCCGUGCCCCAAAAACAGACGCAGAUGUCGCAACAGACACAGCUUACCCAACUGGAGCCGAACUAUGCGGCCAUUAAGCCUAGUAGAAGCUAUCAGGGAAUGUCCACAGCUGCGGUUUACGGCGGAACUGGUGGUAACUCCAGUGGAGUUAUGAAUAAUCCCACGUCAGCGCAAUAUUACGACAAGUACGGAAUGGCCAUGUCCAUGUACUCGCCAAAUGGCGGCUUACCCAUGUAUAGCCAGCCCGAUAUGGGUCCCGAGUCCGCCGGACUGCAAUCUUACAGGAAGCCCACCAACAACUGUCAUUGGGGAGUGGACUACAAUUCGCCCAAUUAUCGAUCUCUACCACCGGCGACAGGACCCAACAGCACUUACCAUCACCCCCAUCCUACUCCCGGGCCCGGACCUGGGCCCGGACCUGGACCCGGACACGGAACCAUCAACAGCGAACUAUAUUACGGGUCCACGAAAUACGAUAAAUACGGAAGCGCCGGAGUAUCGCCGUAUGGCAGCAAUCCGUAUGGGGUUCCUUCGAUUACGCAAUCCUAUUCCAGCAGAAAUUUGUGGUCAGGUGCGGAGAAUGCGCCUUUAAGUUCCCGCCAGAAUUGUUGCUCGCAGGGAUACCCCUUGAACCAGCAGAACUGCUAUUACCCGAGGGGUAAUGGCUACGGAUCUAUUUCGGGCCCCUAUGGAACAUCAGGAAGCGCCCCGCAAUCGCAACCUCAAUAUCCGGGAACUGGACCAUCCGCCGCUGCCAUGAAGCUCAAGCAUCCGACUGAUAUGUACGUGGGCCACGGCCCCUACGAAGCCACGCCCAGUCAACUGGGCUAUGGAUAUAGUCCACAGGCUCUGUCAGGUUCCACCACAUCGAAUAACCUGAACAGCCAAAGAUACACGGCGCCAAUGGGGUUGGGAAUGGGCGGCGUGGGAAUUGGUAUCGGCAUGGGCAUGGGAAUGGAUCCCGGGAGCGGAGGCUACUACAAUGAUCUGAGUCUCAACACCUUGGACAGCUAUGUUUCUCCUACGAUGCCCCAGCAGCCCCUGCGAACACAACCCUAUCAGGAUUAUCGCAAGAGAUCUGGAAUUGUUGGUCCCACCUCCUCGGGAAAUUGUUAUCUUGGACAGACUGGAAAUUCAGUUGGCGGAUCCCUCACCAACCUCGAUGCACAAGUGGAAAACUAUGUGGGCUUUAAUCUCCACGUCGCGGCAUCCUCCAACAUAAAUUACACUGUAGAGUCGACGAAAGGUACCCAGAAUUAUAACAUUCGCGACUUUCUCUCCACAUGGAAGGUUGACGACGAAGACGAAACAAGUGCUGUUCUUGAGAUGGAUCCUCCGGCUGUGGCGGUGGUGGCACCAGUACCUAGCACACCCAACUUUAUGUACGAAUCUCUGCCACCGACAGGACCUCAGGCCACAGCAGUCGUGGAUCAUCAAGGCAUUAACUUACCAGACAUAAUUAUAGACAUUGAAAAGGCCAAUGGAAACGGCAGUGGUCCCGUGGACGAUUCCUUUGGCAGUUUCGACGUGGAGAAAGAGUUGGAUGAACUGCGUCUCAAAACGAAUGCCUCUGAGCAACAACCCGUCAACGAAAGCGAUGCCUUGGCGGAGAUCCUCCGAGAACCAGACCCUGAGUCAUUGAUCGAACAAUCCGCCGAUCCUCCCUUGCCCAGUCCCAUUCUAAACAGCAAUGAGGCCUAUGAUAAUGUACCACAACCACCUGUCCCUAUGGACUUCGAUCAGAACAACAGCUCAAACUCAAACGAAUCCACUUUUGCUAAGGAGUACGAGACCUUUAUUCACAAAAUCGAUGGUACCGAGAGUGACCCCGGAGAAGCGACUGUCCGGGUUGAAGGGGAGUAUAGAGAGAAUCCGAAAAGAUUUAAGUUUUAUAAAAGAAAGCGCAGAACCACAGAUCCCCAGGACAGGUUAGAUCAAAAGGAUGAAGAACCACAGGUGGGUCCUUGCCAAAAUCAAAAUGAAAUCUCUCUCUCGGCCAAAACUUUGGCCAGAGCCAGUAAGAAACUUCUGGCAAAAAAACGGCGAAAUCGCAUUAAUUUGCUUAAGAUCCUGGAAUUCGAGAGCCCAAAAAUAAAAUAUCGGCAUUAUUUUAGGAUACUGAAAGUAUUGCGAAAGAAAACCGCCUAUAGUAAAAACAGAGAACUCCGAUCCAGCCUAAUGAAGAAGCAGUUAACCAUUUUGAAAGAGAAACGGCUGCCUCUGAUCAAGAGGCUGAUGAAGAAAUACGAUGCGACUCCGGAUCUGCGUAAUCCCCCUAGUCUCAAAGGGCUGAGUGUCUCGGCCUUGAAUUCCUCCGAAUUCAGGAGCAGUAUACUGAGUGGAACAGAUCGGGAGACGGUCAUCAAGAGUGUGUGCAGCUACAAAGAUAAGACUGAGGAAGUUCAUAAAGAGCCAGAUCUGGAGGAGCAGGGCUUGGACACCAGUUCCCUGGAGCUGCAGUCAAACUUUAAGGGGUUUGAUGACAUCGAAAAUACGAACAUGUCUCCAAAAAUUAAAUUGAGAGUGGAGCUGGACGACGAGGGAAGCGACAAGAGCCCCAUUAAAAGGGAAGUGGAGCAUGACGUUCAAAAUAAGGAGGAGCAAAUACAAGCGUGGCUGAAAAGUAGUGUGGUACCCACCCCAGAACCAGAAAUUGAUGCUGAAAUCCCGAAACAAGAGGCUGGUGUAGCGGAGUCGUCAUCUUCAUCAAGCUCGAGCUCCAGUAGUUCCAGUUCAGACGAAGACUCUAGCAGCUCGAGCAGCCAGGAAGAUGAAGGCGUUUCUUCAAGUAGCAGCAGUUCCAGCAGCACCAGUUCCCGGAGUUCUUCGGCUGGAGAAGAGAGCGACUUUAACGAGCUGGCCGCCCUGGAAAAAGAACUCUCCCAAUCGCAAGCCGGAGAGCACAUGGGGGAGCUCUCUCCCCGGGAGAUAAUUGUCAAAGAGGAGAGCCCUGAAGAGUUACACCCAGAAGUGGAGGUCUCCAACCACGAUAUUGCCAAACUGAAGCAGAUCCUGGAAAGCGAUGGCGAAGCAAAGCCAAGUGACCUUAGUAAGAUUGCCUUAAAUAGUUCCUUAAAAUCAAAUGAGUUAGUCGUAAGAGAGGAAAUGGAAACUGACCUUUUAGGAGCAUCCGAAUCUCCGGAUAGAUGUGGUUCUGCUCCUACUCCCCGAGAACUAAGCGUCGAGGAGGCGCUGGCGGAAAUGUACCAGCUUUCAGAUCUCGAGGGCAAGGAGGACGACGAGGAGCCGAACACCAACGGUCAGGAUGUACUGCUAAUCAAUCUGGCCGAGAUAUUUGACUCCAGCAGUGAUCUCUAUGUGGUACAGUGCGACAUGAACGAGAACAUUCUGGGCGUGGUGGCCAAUGAGGAUCAGGAGGCCGAGGUUCAACCAAAUCAGGCUAGUCUUGGUCAGGUGAGUCCCGCCGCGGAGGAGCAGGCCGACACUCUGCAGCUCAUCCAGUUGUUGGCUGAGCCCCAGCCAGAAUUUGAUGCCACGCCACUAAUACAUCACGAGGAGGUAAUUCACGAUGAGAAGCCUGAUCCGCAAAAGGAUCGGCGAAAGUUGCUCAAAUAUCUGCAUGGGAAGUAUGUACAGAGUCGGAUAAGUCGCUUCUACCACGCCCAUCAAGUCCUGCGGAAGUACAAGCGCCAAAGAGCAGGGAAGAAGCGUCUCGGGAAAGUCAAAUAGGUUUGCAGCUUUUACCAAAGAUAUUUCUGGUCCCUGGACAGGAUCAGAUGUGUUCGGCUCGUCGAAAAAGGCGAUCGAGUCGAAAGUAAAUAAAAGAUACACCACACGUACACGUUAGAUACACCACAAAAAAAACUAAAGAUAUGGAUGCAAAUGCAGCUACACUUUACAGAAUCUCAAGACUUUUUUUAAUAUUUGGAUUUAUUUAAGGAAACGGAAUGUAGCAUAAUAUCUAUGUAUAGUCCUUUUAGGAAAAUCAUAAUUUUUAAACUUUUACGAUACUUAUUUUAGAGUACCAUAUAUAUUUUAGAUAUCUGUGCAAUAUUUACAUGGAAAAUGUCGUGUUUAUCUGGAAUGCGCGAAUUCGAAUCUCGAUGGGUUAAGCAUGAGUAAGCAGCGUUAGACAAAGGGUUAACCGGGGGUCAGUCGGGGAGUUUUGGGGUUUCUGUCCGAGUCGCGUGCAAUUAACCAGAUACAUACAUACUUUAUCGGCUAAUGUAUCAGCGUUUUACUCGCUCAGCGAGUCGAGCCAAUUUAAAAUGCUUUUCGCCAAAGGUCAGGCCCAGAUUGAGAUACAUUCGCAAUAUAACUUAUACACAUAUAUCGGGGGGAAUACGCGAUUCCAGUUGCGUGUUAGCCUUGGCGUAAGUUGGCGGACAAAUAAACCCGCCCAACGACGCCACCCACUUGUAGCUUAAAUUUUUGCCACCAAAUGCAGCCUAGACCAAAAACUAAAUACAUCUGUUGCAAUUGUUUGAUCUGUUAGUAGCCGAAGACUUUGUUUUAGUGCAAUUAUUUGUUAGGUUCCUAGAGCAAUUUGUUGUGUUUAUUUUAGGAAUACGGGAAUUACCAAAAUUGUUAGGCUUUGGCUUCGUACACCUAACCAUUGAGCCCAAUUCCCAUAUCGACAAGGAAAUCGAGGGGUUUCUGUUUCAUAAGACCCAUCCCUAAUUGAUGCUUUGCGCAUACGGCGACUUUAGGGCAUAGCCAAUCACAAAUCCAGACCGGUUAUCGAAUUUGGCAUGGGGGCCUUAAAGAAUUCUCAACGCCCGACAUAUGCAAAAUGCGGAUGAGGAAAACAAUAUUCAAGGGCAAUGCCAACUAUGAAAUAGACUUGGGUGCUGGUCUAGUCUUAGAAUCCUAGCCCACAGCAACACUAAACUAAAAAUGUUAUCUUAUUCUAUAACCGAGACCACCUAGAUGUCUUUUUCUCGUAACACAUUCCAAAGGACCAAACAUUUGAAACUAAUACAUGUAUAAUGUCUAGCUAAGCUUCUAAAUUACAAACAAAAUACGAAGUGCAAGAGCUAGCCCACUAAAUGGAGUAACAACGUUAGCAGUAACAAUAAUAUUUAUUGCGCAAUAUGUACAUACAUACCAUCCUUUGCCACUCCACUCCACACACAUUCCACAAUGGAUAUAACAUAGAUGUCUGUAACUCUAUACUUGUAAAUCGGAGGUUUUCACUGUACCUUAGCUUUAAGAUUUGUGACUUUAUCAAUGUGAGUGUCUUUGAGCAAACCAAACAAAAGAAAUGAUAUACGAAACCCAAAAAA